GACGAACGCUGGCGGCGUGCCUAAUACAUGCAAGUCGAACGCAGUGGGGACGGGUGAGUAACACGUGGGUAACCUCCCAUCAGAGGGGAUAACAAUUGGAAACCGGUGCUAAACCGAUACUGAUGGAUGGACCUGCUGUGCAUUAGCUAGUGGGUGAGGUAACGGCUCACCAAGGCCACGAUGCAUAGCCGACCUGAGAGGGUGAUCGGCCACACUGGGACUGAGACACGGCCCAGACUCCAACGGUAGGCAGCGGUAGGGAAUGUUCGGCAAUGGACGAAGGGCUGACCGAGCAACGCCGCGUAAGUGAAAAAGGUUUUCGUAUCGUAAAACUCUGUUGUUAUAGAAGCGGUAUCUAACCAGAAAGCCACGGCUAACUACGUGCCAGCAGCCGCGGUAAUUC
rnacentral:rRNA from 1 species